UGGUCAGUGAGAUGUGCUCAGUUCUUCGAUACGUUCACGUGUUCGGGAUCCCUAUAUCAUUUUCUAUCCAUAGACUAAUGAGAAGAACAUUGUAGCCGAGUCUACGAACGAAAAUGAUGAGAAGACUGUUAUUCGAUAUUUGAAAAAGAGGAAAAACAGGUGGAUCGAUAGGAGGACAUGGUUCUCCCGUUGUCCGUACGAUGGCAAGAAGUGGUGCCUGACGGGAUUUUCAAAAGAAACUUGUUUACUCACGCUCUCGGCCCUAGCAACAUGCACUCAUUAUUUUUCGUUAAAAGAGUUGGAUAUUAAAUGUUUUUCUCGGGAUCAAGGCCGACUGGCAUGAUAUUGAAUUCAUCGAUGUUCGCUAUCGUUAUAAUUACUGUCCCAGAAAAGAAAUGUGGGAAUAAAUGGGAAGUCGAGCGCUGCUAA